UGGGGAAUUUUGCACAAUGGGGGAAACCCUGAUGCAGCGACGCCGCGUGAUUUAGAAGGCCUUCGGGUUGUAAAAAUCUUUUGUAUAGGAAGAAAAUGACAGUACUAUACGAAUAAGGACCGGCUAAUUACGUGCCAGCAGCCGCGGUAAUACGUAGGUCCCGAGCGUUGUCCGGAUUUAUUGGGCGUAAAGCGAGCGCAGGCGGUUAGAAAAGUCUGAAGUGAAAGGCAGUGGCUCAACCAUUGUAGGCUUUGGAAACUGUUUAACUUGAGUGCAGAAGGGGAGAGUGGAAUUCCAUGUGUAGCGGUGAAAUGCGUAGAUAUAUGGAGGAACACCGGUGGCGAAAGCGGCUCUCUGGUCUGUAACUGACGCUGAGGCUCGAAAGCGUGGGGAGCGAACAGG
rnacentral:rRNA from 1 species